GAUGAACGCUGACAGAAUGCUUAACACAUGCAAGUCGACUUGAAGCAACUUCGGUUGUGGAAAGUGGCGGACGGGUGAGUAACGCGUAAAGAACUUGCCCUUCAGUCUGGGACAACCAUUGGAAACGAUGGCUAAUACCGGAUAUUAUGGAACUCUCGCAUGGGAGGAUCAUGAAAGCUAUAUGCGCUGAAGGAGAGCUUUGCGUUCCAUUAGCUAGUUGGUGAGGUAACGGCUCACCAAGGCGACGAUGGAUAGCCGGCCUGAGAGGGUGAUCGGCCACAAGGGGACUGAGACACGGCCCUUACUCCUACGGGAGGCAGCAGUGGGGAAUAUUGGACAAUGGACCAAAAGUCUGAUCCAGCAAUUCUGUGUGCACGAUGAAGGUUUUCGGAUCGUAAAGUGCUUUCAGUUGGGAAGAAGAAAGUGACGGUACCAACAGAAGAAGCGACGGCUAAAUACGUGCCAGCAGCCGCGGUAAUACGUAUGUCGCAAGCGUUAUCCGGAUUUAUUGGGCGUAAAGCGCGUCUAGGCGGGUUCAUAAGUCUGAUGUUAAAAUGCGGGGCUCAACUCCGUAUUGCGUUGGAGACUGUGAACCUAGAGUAUCAGAGAGGUGGGCGGAACUACAAGUGUAGAGGUGAAAUUCGUAGAUAUUUGUAGGAAUGCCGAUGGAGAAGUCAGCUCACUGGAUGAAUACUGACGCUAAAGCGCGAAAGCGUGGGUAGCAAACAGG
rnacentral:rRNA from 1 species